rnacentral:rRNA from 1 species
CACCAGGCCCGGACACUGGAAGGAUUGACAGAUUGAGAGCUCUUUCUUGAUUCGGUGGGUGGUGGUGCAUGGCCGUUCUUAGUUGGUGGAGCGAUUUGUCUGGUUAAUUCCGAUAACGAACGAGACUCUAGCCUGCUAAAUAGGCGACGGAUUUCAAGGCCCGCAAGGGUCCGUUACUGGCCCGGGAUGGCCGUGCGGGAUCAGGCCGUGUCGGUCGUCGGGGCAACUCGGCGGUCGGCGCGGUCCCCGUCGGCGGCCCGGGUCGCGUCCGUCGCGUCUCUUCUUAGAGGGACAAGCGGCGUCCAGCCGCGUGACAGUGAGCAAUAACAGGUCUGUGAUGCCCUUAGAUGUCCUGGGCCGCACGCGCGCUACACUGAAGGAAUCAGCGUGUUUCACCGUCCCUGUCCGAGAGGACCGGGUAACCGCUGAACCUCCUUCGUGG